rnacentral:lncRNA from 1 species
AAAUCAACAACCCUCAUCUCACCGCCGUCACCUCCUUGGGUAUCUCCUCCUACCUCAUCUCAACCUAAACACUCUUCUUUCAAACCACCGUUAAACCACAUCUAAUCCACUCAAACAACCCACCACCGAGUAAGCUUUCAUCGCAAUGGAAUAACACAAAUCCCUGGUCCAGCAAGCGAAUUCGUCAAGCUUUCUUCCAAGUUUGGCAGGUGUGAUCAGCAAUCGAUUUGGUCCUAAGUGGAUUUAC